CAAAAAAAAAGACAGACUGCUUCGGUGUUUGUCUGUCUGUCUGUCAUCGAGGCGUGUUUGUUUCAACAUCCAUUCCCUUGCCUGCCGGAGCUGCACUUCACCGCGAGGACAGAUAAGCGAGCUAAAAUUAACCACGCCGGAGAAAUAAAAAUGUACAGACGUAGCUGGAAACGCUUUGAGAGAGAGAGGGAGUGUGUGUCGUGUGGCGCUACCCGUGUGUUCCCUUCUGUUUUGGACCAGAAGCAUGACCGAGCUAAUACCAAGACCGAGACCGCAGCAAGACUAGAGACCGAGAAUGAAGCCGAGUGUUUAAAGACCAAGCCACUCCCUAAAUCUGUGUUCACGUAAUGAGCCCCAUCUGCUCGCCCCUCGCCCCCCAACGCACCGGGUGAGGUAGAGGAUGAAACAGUCGCAGUGCCAGGGGUUCAUGGAGAGCUUGACCUGCUCCACCUUCUUCAGCUCGUCCAGGAGACCCACGGGUAGAUGCAUGAACUUGUUGCUGUCGAUCUGCCUGCGAGGGGAGACGAGAAGGCUGCAGUGUGAGCUACCGGGUUAAGUCGACCUUCGUGUGACCUCCUUCGGUAUACUCACAGCUCCACGAGGUCCGUCAGACUGUUGAAGGAGUCUUUGUGGAGGAACUUGAGGCGGUUCAUCCCGAGUUCUCUGGCGGGGAAGGACGCGGCAGUCUGUUUAAAGCUGUUUUAUGUAUCCCACCCCACCCCCACCUACCCCUUCCCCACCUCCACAGUCCCACCCCACCCCACCUACCCUUCCCACCCCCACACUUCCACACCUCCUCCCUCUCCCCCACAACCUCCCUCUUCCCCCCCCCACACACACGCACAG